ensembl:lncRNA
AUGGGGGCUGGGGUUAUGGGGCUACGGGAUGUGGGGGUCUUGGAUGUGGGGCUGGGAGUUGUGGGGCUGGGGGUUAUGGGGCUGUGGGAUGUGGGGCUGAGGGUUAUGGGGCUGUGGGAUGUGGGGCUGGGGGUUAUGGGGCGCCGCUGUGGGGCUCGGCCCCAUAAGAAUGCCGCUAUGGGGCGCGUGGUGCAGCGCAGCAUUGUGGUGCUAUGGGGCAGAGUUAUAGGGCAGAGCUGUGGGGAGGAUCUAUGGGGCAGCGCUAUGGGGCAGAGCUUUGGGAAGAUCUAUGGGGCAGAGGUGUGGGGCAGAGCUAUAGGGAAGGGAUGCGGGGCAGAGAUGUGGGGCAGCCCUAUAUGUCCCACUGGGUCACUCAUUAAUGCGCCCCACACGGAUCAGUGGGCAGCGCCGCCCCCUUCGUGUGGGGCAGAGACCUCUGCCCCAUAGAUCACGUGGGGUGGGACGGAGUCCCUCCGUGCCCCAUAGAUCUCACGGUGUGGGGCAGAGUCCCUCUCCAUGGGGCAGAAGCCUCAUCUAUGGGGCAGAGCCAUGGGGCAGAGGCCUCAUCAAUGGGGCAGAGCCGCCAUCUAUGGGGCAGAGGCCUCAUCUAUGGGGCAGAGCCAUGGGGCAGAAGCCUCAUCUAUGGGACAGAGGCCUCAUCUAUGGGGUACAGGCCUCAUCUAUGGGGCAGAGGCCUCAUCUAUGGGGCAGAGGCCCCAUCUGUGGGGCGGAGGCGCGAUGUGUGGGGCAGAGCCAUGGGACAGAGGCCUCAUCUAUGGGGCAGAAGCAUCAUCUAUGGGGCAGAGGCCUCAUCUAUGGGGCAGAAGCCUCAUCUAUGGGGCAGAGGCCCCAUCCGUGGGGCAGAGGCGCGAUGUGUGGGGCUCAGUAGUUGGAGGAGCGCUCCUGCUGUCUGUAGGCCCCACGGCGAAGGUAACCGCCGUCCCCCUUCCGGUAGCCGUCCUUCUGAUCUGUGGGGCACAGGAACACUUAUGGGGCACAGCAGCACUUAUGGGGCAGAGAGGUACUUAUGGGGCACAGAAACACAGGGCAGAGGAGUACUUAUGGGGCACAGAAACACGGGGCAGAGGAGCACUUAUGGGGCACAGAAAGACAGGGCAGAGGAGCACUUAUGGGGCACAGGAACAUUUAAGGGGCAGAGGAGCACUUAUGGGGCACAGAAACACGGGGCACAGGAACACUUAUGGGGCACAGGAGCACUUAUGGGGCAGAGAAGCACUUAUGGGGCAGAGAGGCACUUAUGGGGCAGAGGAGCACUUAAGGGGCAGAGAAGCACAGGGAAGAGAGGCACUUAUGGGGCAGAAAGGCACUUAUGGGACAGAAGAGCACUUAUGGGGCACAGAAACAUGGGGCAGAGGAGUACUUAUGGGGCAGAGGAGCACUUAUGGGGCAGAGAGGUACUUAUGGGGCACAGAAAGACGGCAGAGGAGCACUUAUGGGGCACAGGAACACUUAUGGGGCAGAAAGGCACUUAUGGGGCAGAGAGGUACUUAUGGGGCAGAGGAGUACAUAACCCCCAGCCCCACAUCUCUGCCCCCCAUAACCCCCAGCCCCACAUC